UUCAAGCGAUUCUUCUGCCUUAGCCUCCUGAGUAACUGGGACUACAGGCGCUUGCCACCACACCCGGCUAAUUUUUGUAUUUUUAGUAGAAAUGGGGUUUCACCAUAUUGGCCAGGCUGGUCUUGAAUUCCCGGCCUCGUGAUCCAUUCGCCUUGGGCUCCCAAAGUGCUAGGAUUACAGACAUCAGCCACCGUGCCUGGCCUCAGCAUAAAUAUUAUACCAAGCAAAAAAAAUUUUUUUAGGAAUAAAUAAGGACUGUACUUUCAAGGAUCAUUUCUAUAGUUUAUUACUAAAGAAGUUUCUCUGAACAUAUAAAGCAAAACAUUUUUUAAGAAGAAAAAAUAGACCAGAUGCUGUGGCUGACACUUGUAGUCCCAGCACUUGGGUAGGCUGAGGUAGGUGGAUCACUUGAGGUCAGGAGUUUGAGAACUGCCUGGGCAACAUGGUGAACCCUGUCUCUACUAAAAAUACAAAAAUUAGGCCAGGCACGGUGGCUCACGCCUGUAAUCCCAGCACUUUGGGAGGCCAAAGCGGGUGGAUCACGAGGUCAGAAGUUCAAGACCAGCCUGGCCAACAUGGUGAGACCCUGUCUCUACAGAAAAUCCAAAAAUUAGCUGGGCUUGGUGGCACGUGCCUGUAGUUCUAGCUACUCAGGAGGCUGAGGGAGAAUUGCUUGAACCUGGGAGACAGAGGUUGCAGUGAGCCAAUAUCGCGCCACUGCACUCCAGCCUGGGCGACAGAGCAAGACUCUGUCUCAAAAAAAAAAAAAAAAGUUAGCCGGGCAUGGUGAUGCACACCUGUAAUCCCAGCUACUUGGGAGGCUGAAGCACGAGACUCGCUUGAACCCAAGAGAUGCAGGUUAGUGAGCCGAGAUUGUGCUACUGCACUCCAGCCUGGAUGACAGAGUGAGUGAGACUCCAUCUCAAAAGAAAAAAUAAAUUGUUAUAUCAUUUUUGCUCCUAAAAAAAGGAAUAGUUCUAUAAUAUCAAAUAUCUGGUCAAUUUCUAGUUAAUGUUCAAAGUUCCAAAUGUCUCAUAAAUAUUUUCUUUAUUUUUUUUUUUUUUGCAGUUUGUUUGAAUUAAUAUCCAAAUAGAAAUAAUGCAAUUGGUUAAUAGGUCAGGUUUCUUUUCAUCUAGAGCUUUCCCAUCUCUCUUUUUUCUUCAUAAUUUAUUUGUUGAAAUAAAGUGGCCGGGCGUGGUGGCUCAUGCCCAUAAUCCCAGCACUCUGGGAGGCUGAGACAGGUGGAUCACCAGAUGUCAGGAGUUCGAGAUCAGCCUGGCCAACAUAGCGAAACCCCAUCUCUACUAAAAAUACAAAAAUUAGCCAGGUGUGGUGGCGGGCACCUGUAGUCCCCGCUACUCGGGAGGCUGAGGCAGGAGAAUCGCUUGAACCCGGAAAGUGGAAGUCGCAGUGAGCCGAGAUUUUGCUGCUGCACUCCAACCUGGGUGACAGAGCGAGCGAGAGUGAGACUCUGUCUCAAAAAAAAAAAAAAGUUGGGCUGUUUGUCCUGUAGGAAUCCCCACACCUGCAUUUUGCUGGUUGCAGCCCCAUGGUGUGAUUUGAUAUGUUUAUCCAUCGCCAGGGGUUCUUGUAAAUUGGGGUUGGAUCUAGAAGCUUGAUAAAACGCAGCCUUGACUUAUUUGGGCAAGCAUGUUUUAUAGAUAGUACUGUUGCUCCCAUCAGGAGGUACAUACUGUCUGGCUACCUCUCUUUUUGUGAUGUUAUCAUAUUGCUUUAUUUUCUUAAUUUCUUAUUUUGUUUUGUUUUUUUGUUUUUCUGAGACAGGGUCUCCCUCUGUGGCCCAGGCUGGAGUGCAGUGGCGCAAUCUUGGCUCACUGCAACUUCUGCCUCCCAGGUUCAAGCGAUUCUCCUGCCUUAGCCUCCUGGUUAGCUGAGAUUACAGGCGCAUGCCACCACGCCCCGUUAAUUUUUAUAUUU
rnacentral:lncRNA from 10 species